CCAAAACAAUGGCCGAAAGGCCUUGCCCUAGGGGGGGAGACCCCCCGACGGUAAACCCUUUGUGAAAACCCCCUUGUUUGCCUCGGCGGCACGUCCCUCACGGGGCGGUCGGCCCGCCGACGGCACCAAACAAAAACUCUUUUUGAAUUGAAGAAUCAGUCUGAAUCAAUGGUCGAAUGACUAUA
rnacentral:misc_RNA from 1 species